rnacentral:lncRNA from 10 species
GAACAACUUGUUUUCUAAUCUUUUUCUCUUUUUCUCAUUCCUCUUCUUUCUUUAUUCUUCUUUUCCCCCCUCUUUUUGUUUCCUUUUCCUGACUCUUGAAAACCAUGGCAAGUGCUUAUUAUUUCAGUUGAAUAUGUUAAAAAUUGUUAUCAAGAAGUUGAUUUUUUGUGUAUAAAAAUGGUGAACUAAGAUACUGUUAAAAGAGUGGAAUAAAUGAAGAGGAGAGACAGAAGAACCAAAGAUGGGAAAAGGACUGGAAAAGAAAAAGAGACUAAAAGGAAGUUCUGAAGGCUGAGAAGUCCAAGAUCAAGGUGUCACCAGAUUUGGUAUCUGGUGAGGGCCUGCUUCCUGGUUGAUAGAUGGUGUCUUCCUUCCAUCUCCU